rnacentral:snRNA from 1 species
AUAUUUAUCUGGCAGAGAGAUAUCAUGAUCACCAAGGUGGUUUGCCCAGGGGGAGGCUGAUCCUUUGCACUGAGGACUGCUAACACUGAGAAUUCUCUGCAUGAGGGAAGUUUUAAUUGUGUUGGUGGGGUGUUGUGUUUGUUCUUUCCCCUG